GAAUUCAUAUGCAUAACUUUUUUUUCUACAACAAGGCUUGAUUAGCUACAUUAUUCAUAUGAUAUAUAUUCUGUAAGUCAGCAGGAGACACGAAAAAUUCUACUUUAUAAUACUUCUACUAAAUACUAUGAGAAUUUACUAAACUAUAAAAGCAUGAAGCCGCCAGGCAGCUAAUGCAGCAGCCAUAACAAUUUUAAUUGCAAGGAUCUCGUCGGCCCGACAGUGCGAUGGUCUAACUGCCAACAAAACCAUACUCCACACCAUUUAAUUAUUUUUUGUUUU
rnacentral:lncRNA from 1 species